AGACAUUUUGCCUUCCUCUUUUGAUCAUCUGCUUGUGAUCAUCUGGUUUCAAUUACACUGGCUUUUUUUAAUCAUGAAAACAAAGUGGGGGCAGAAGUCUGCCUCAUUUGUCUGCACAGGUCCAGGAGCACCAUUCACAUUGAGUGUGACAGGCGCGUCAUCCCUGGAGGUGGGUAGCGCUGUGGCCCUCUUGCUGAGAACCGAAGCAAUGUUGAGAUCUGCUAGGAACUGUGAGAAGCAAGAAGCUUCCUGGCGCCAGAAUCCACCAUCCACCACAGAAGCAGACAACCAAGGACAUCCACCUGUAGCGAGGAGGAUCUGGCCAUCCUCCUCGCUACAAGCAGCCUCACAAGGCCAAACACAGGCUGGUGGGAAAGCACCCAGCAGCAAGGCUGCAGGCUCCCCUUCACUACAAGCAGCUGCAUUCCUUGCUACCUUUCAAACCCCUUGCCUCCCAUCUUUUGGGGAGAUGAGACAAACAUGUCUUCUGGUUGAUGUCACCCAAAAUAAAAACUCUUUCCUUG
ensembl:lncRNA